AUUUUAUCGGAGACAUCCGAUAAAAUUGGAACGAUACAGAGAAGAUUAGCAUGGCCCCUGCGCAAGGAUGACACGCACAAAUCGAAAGCAAAUGCGGAACAAU